UUUUUUCUCUUGAAACAUCACAACAAGAAAUUAUCAUCCUAGCAAAAGUUUAAUAAGAGUUAUGACAAAGAAAGAGAUGAAAGUUAUUAGAGUUGUGAUUAUGAUCCUGAUUAUGUUUGACUUCUCACAAGCUAAUUACAAUCCUUCAUCUAUGCAAAUUGGGUCAAAUUAUGGAUCUGAUGGACGAUUCGCUUGUCAAAUCAAAUGUCAGAAAAAAUGUCAAAAAUAUCUAUUACUUCCACCAGGUGUUAUUUUUUAUAUAAUAUGUUAUCAUUCAUGUUUUCGGAAAUGUGAUAAAAUGCCCAUCGAUGUUGCUCAAGAUUGUGUCACUAGUUGUGUCUUGACCAAGCCAAUUGACGUCAACAUUGAUGUUCGUGGUCUUACAGAUGACAUGGUGGAUUCUUGUAUACAAGAGUGUUACAAGUAAUAUUUAUUACAAAAAUAUUGUCCAAGAACAUGGUUGUUAAGAGAAAUAGUAUACAUGCAUAAUUGUAAUAAGCAAAUCUUAAAUAUGAAUAAUAUCUAUUUUAUCUUUUGUAAA